CCUACGGGGGACAGCAGUGAGGAAUAUUGGUCAAUGGGCGCAAGCCUGAACCAGCCAAGUCGCGUGAGGGAUGACGGUCCUAUGGAUUGUAAACCUCUUUUGUAUGGGAAUAAAAUGUUCCACGUGUGGGAUUUUGUAUGUACCAUAUGAAUAAGGAUCGGCUAACUCCGUGCCAGCAGCCGCGGUAAUACGGAGGAUCCGAGCGUUAUCCGGAUUUAUUGGGUUUAAAGGGAGCGUAGGUGGAUUGUUAAGUCAGUUGUGAAAGUUUGCGGCUCGACCGUAAAAUUGCAGUUGAAACUGGCAGUCUUGAGUACAGUAGAGGUGGGCGGAAUUCGUGGUGUAGCGGUGAAAUGCUUAGAUAUCACGAAGAACUCCGAUUGCGAAGGCAGUUCACUGGACUGCAACUGACACUGAGGCUCGAAAGUGUGGGUAUCAAACAGGAUUAGAUACCCCAGUAGUC
rnacentral:rRNA from 1 species